AUUAAAAGAUAAAAAACCUUAUUUUGGUAAAAAUAUUACGAUGAAUGCCAUUACAAUUAAUCCAUUCUAAGAGUAAGCAUAAAAAUUCGUUCAAGGGUAAAAUGGCUAAUUUGCUGGCAAAUGACACACGGAUCCUGGGUUGUUGGGUCGGAUCUAGGGCGUUUGGAUCGGUCAUACACGCGGGUCUUCAUAUGCUAGAGCUUCUCGAAUGUUUUGAAAAUAUAUCCUGCAGUUAAUGUCAAAAUCAAGUAUGUUAGUUAUCAUUUAAAGAGAUUUCCGUAACAAACGAAUCCAAUAAAUUCCUAUUAGUAAAUGAUGAUAAAUCUUUACGAUUCAAAUUCAGUUAUUAAAUUUACCAAAUAUAACAUUGACUAUAAAUUCAAACCCUAACAAAUUUAGCAUAUACCUUAACAAUCCCUUUUCGCAAAUAAUUAGAAGAUUUUGAUUCAGUAAACCCUAAAAAAAAUAAGCCGACCUACUUUUCCUAUAAAUAUGCAAGUCUAAUAACAUAUUCAAUACUCACUAAGCUUUCAAACGAUCCCUAAUCUUAGACAUUCUCCUUUUAAAAAAAUGGCUGCAAAACUUGCUGACAUCAAACCAUCCAAGACAAGUUGGAAAAUAAAUCCAAGUAAAAUUUUUGCAUGCUUGGACUCAUUACACUUUACAAUGGAAAUGAUUCUUGCUGAUGAAUCUGUAAGUAUAGAUUCACCUAAUUUAUACUGUUUUGAAUUUUCUAAUAAUCAUUGGUAGACCCUAUAUUUAAUAGUAAUUGUUUUUAACUUCUUAUAUGGUACUUUGAUUCAUGCUACUAUAAAAAAAUAACAAGUGAACAAGCUUCAAUGGUUUUUCCAAUCUGGAGAGUGUAGAAUUGUGGAAAUUUUUACUCUCUCAAAAUCUAUGGAAAAGUACAAGGCAACCAAGCAUGGUUUUAAGAUGUCACAUAUAAAUUUGAGGCAUUCCUCCAAUGAAUAAAUAUGAUAGACUCCUCCAUUUUCUAAUGUUUCUCCAAAUGAAUCUUUAUCUGAAAACAUUUAAUUUUGUUACAUGAUUUUGCAAACCUUAUAUUUAAGAUUGCUUAACUCUCAUAUGACAAAGUUAAUUAUUUUCUUAAGCUAUCUGAAGUUAACCGUUUCAUUUACAGAAACAGAAAAAGUUCUUAAUGCAUAUCAAACAAUACCAAACAUUUCAGUACUUUGUGUGGAUGUCGGAAUCCGCAAUACAAAUUGUAUGAUGUGUAUCGGAUCGUCUAGUCUUGCCAAUUCGAAUAGCAAUCGUCAAAAAGAAAACAAAAGAGUGAAGUAUGUGUAUUCGUUUAUUGCUCAAGAAAGAUCCCCCUAUACAAUGGUUUUCGUUUCCUAUUUAUAAUUACAUGAUUUGAAACCGAAGUCGCUCAUCAAGCCGCAGAUCUCGCCUUCAUUAUUGCUUCCGUUUCGAAUCUUCCCGAUCUAGCAGAUCCCGUGCAACCCGCCUUUCAUUUAACUCGUGAGAUCCCGACGUUUUACUCGAACUGGGCUGGAACUUAUUGGGCCGCUCUUUUCGUCCCCUGGACCGGGCCGACGGCCCACUUUGUCUUAUUGAUCCACUAUCUUUCCGGGCCGGAUCCGAACUGCGGGAUCCGACACCAACAGUUUGCCUCCCAAGUGUUCCGAAGUAUUCACUUCGGGAUACUUUAAAUAACAAACUCUUCUCGGGCUCGGAGAUUUCGUCAUUAAUUCCGCUUUCCCCGGGAUUUGGUUCCUCGACCGAAGUGACGUUUCGAGAUCUUAGGGUAUAAAUUUUCCCGCAGAUCGAGGGAUUCUUCUCGGGAUGAGGGCGGCGUUUCGAGUUCCUAGGGUUUCCAUAUUCCCGCCAGAGAUUCCUAUAAAUAUUUGUUUGGACUCUUCGGGUUCUGCACAACCGCUUCAAGUUCAUUCAUUCUUCGUCGUCUGCUUAUUUAAGGUACCGAACCCUCUCCUCUUUUCUCUCUUAUCACUCUUCCGAUUACGCUUAGUUCUUGCUAUUUAGUUUCGGAUUCGUGUUAGUUCACCGCUCUAGAUUAGUUCCGUGCUAGAUUUAGGCCAGAGAUCUAAAAGAUUUCUUAGAUUUUCAGCCCUCUGCUCCGAAAUCGUUCGCUGUUCUUCAUCUCCUCCGCCGUGUUCUUGAUAUUCCGUUGAAUCGCAACCGUUUUCCGAAGAACAUCGACCGCUUAAUCUUUCCGGUUUCUGGGUUUUCACGAAGAUCUUCGAAGUUUGCUCAAGCGUGUUCUUGAGUUGUUCUUGAAAUAUCUUCCCAAAUCCCUGGCACCAGAUCUUGUUUCGUCUCUACAUCUUCCUUAAUUACGUUAUGGCUCCGAAGCGAAGCAGGAAGAUCCAGAAUGAGACUCACAUCAUGGAAGGCGAGUUCGGGAAGUAUUUUUCUUCGAAUCUCGACAAUAAAAAGCUGGCUCUGCUGAAAGGUGCCUGCCAGAUCCCUCGUCGAGUCUCCUUGAUUACUCCGGGUCCGACAGAUUCUCCGGAGUCUCCAAAUACGGAUUAUUUCGUUCGUGAAUGGACUCGUCGUCCCGGUAGAUAGCUCCUUAGGUUUUUCACUGCUUUUCACUCGUCUUUUUUUUUUUCCUUUCUAAUCCGUCAAUGUUUUUGCUUUUGCAGCUAAACUUCCGAAGAAAACGCUUUCUCAUACUUUUGCGGGGCAAUUCGUAAAGAUUUGCAAUAGCAGCGACCUGUCGUGGGAAUUGUUCACUUGCGAACGCAUCCGGAGUUCGUGUGCUCGAAUUGUCUCGCGAUCCGACCUCAUUUCCUCCACUCCUCCCUCCUCCCCUACUGUUGCCACUAACAUGUCUCCACUUUCCUACCGCGAAGAGAAGAGGCUCCAAAAGGAAAGGGAAAAAGCGAGAGAAGCGAGAGAGAAAGAAGAUAAGGCCAGGAUGGUGAAGGCCUUGGAUGAAGGGAAGUCCAGAUCUUCAUCUGGUAAAGGGAAGAACUCGGGUACCGUAGAUCCGGUUUCCGAAUCGAAGACCUCUGAUCACCGUGAUCUAAAGAAGGUGUCUUCGGGAAAAGACCUAAUCCGGAUCUCGGAUUCUCGCUCCUCCCGAUCUUCUCGGGAAAAAGAAAUUUCUGAAGGAGGUCAUAGUGCAACCUCCUCAAGGUAACGCAGGAACGAGGAAUCUGAAGUUCCUUCCCUCCAACGCAAGAGUCGUUCUCGUCUGAACGACGAGAAAAAUCCUUCCGAGGAUGCUGGGACCAGUCUGGGGUCAAAACCAGAAGAAAAAGAAGAUCCACAACGGGCCCCGGAGUCCGACUUGCCAACUCAGCUUCUUGUCCUGCCUUCGCGGGACUCUGAGAACCGGGGAUCCGUCCGUCAGGAGAUUCCGAUCCCCACUGGUAAGUAGAGUCACUUCGUAUUUCUAUCUCGCUUCGAGUUCAUUUUGACGUUUUAUUUUAACAGCUCCUCCGAAGUCACCAGCUGAUUUCAUGAGGAACUUUACUCCUGUUGGGAUGAGGAUUCCUCCCUUUAGUGACUUGAAGGAGGUCAACAGAGCGAACUACUUUCGCUUCGCUGAUAAACUCGGAGAGGUAAUUCUUUGAACUCUUCUCCUUAUAUAAAAAUAAGAACUUUUCUUUCCGUCCUCAUGAAUCUUCGUUUCGACAGUUAAUGCUCGAGUACAACACCACCUUCUCCUGCCACGAGUCCCAGCUCUUUCCAGUUAACGAGCUGGAUGGCCUCAGGGCCCGGGUUGCCGAACUUGAAGAAGGGAUCCGUCAACUCAAGGAGAUGGAGGAGGAAAAUGCCAAGGCGGUGGCAAAGGCGAACGAGAUCCGGGAACGAAUGCUGGAAGCCGAAGGUCGCUGCAACCUUCUUGACAUUGCCAAAACUGAUCUUUCCGAGAAGCUGAAGAUCGGGAAGAACUUGUACCUCGAGGCAUGUGACAAGAUUACCUCGCUGGAAGCUGAAGUUAAGCGAAGCGAGGAAUGGUGCAAGAUCGCUGCUGAGAAACGGGACGAGGAGCUCGCAGCAGCGAAAAAAGAUGAAAGGAUGAGGCUUCGUGAACUCUAUAGCGGACUCGACUCGAAACAUGAGACCUACUACAAGGCCAUCAGUGAUAACGAGAUGAUUGGGACACGUCUUGCCGAGACUCGGGCGAACCGAGAACUUCUUGAGGAGUUAAAAGCCGAACUAGAGUUCGGCUUUUACCGACUCUAGUUCGGCUUUCCCGACGUCAAGGGUCAAUGAUCUGGUUCUGGGGUUGUGAUGGCUAGUGUGCCCCCCUUUGUUGUUUUAUUUUUUAAAGACUUGAAUAUUUCCCCUCCAUAUUUAUAUAAGUCCUUUUGAAUUAUAAAUCCGGAGUAUUCAAGAAAUUUGAAUACCUAGUAUGAAAAAUUAAGAAAUACUUAAGAUUUCAACGAGAUGCGCUGUUUACAUGAACUCAAAAUUCAUUUUUCAAUGGAUAAGGGAAAAUACUAAGAACGAGAGUUAAGUGGGUGUUCUUAAUAGAAAAAAUGAGGAUCGGGACUCGGAGUCCGCAGAAAUCCCUAGUCUGUGUUGAACCAGACCCUUUUUCUGCUAAGUAAAACUUAGGCUUAUCUUUCAAGAAUUACCAGAGAUCUGAGCUCGGUUUUCGAGAAAAGUAGUUACGAGGUUCUUCUCGGUUUCACGGAUUGCGAGAUAAUUCUCGGCUUCUUUGAAAAAUGUUUAGAAGAAUAUAAACAUUUUAUUUGAUUUAGAGACUGCACUCGAAGUUCGAGCUGCCUACGUACCCAAAGGUGGGGAUCAAGUCUAUCGUAGUUCGAUUUACAAUAAUGAAAAUAAUAAAAUACUUAAACAAAGUAUCUCUUCAGAUAAAUGGAAUUCCAAGCUCUUCGGACUGCUUUUCCUUCCAUGUUUUCAAGGCGAUAAACUCCAUUGCGAACUACCUGAGUAAUUCGAUAAGGACCUUCCCAGUUGACGCCUAACUUUCCCGCUCCGUCUUCGGCUGUAUUUUGCUGAACUUUGCGUAAUACUAAUGUCCCAACGUCGAAGUGCCGACUUCGGACAGUCGAAUUAUAGUAUCGAGCUGCGGCAUUCUGGUAAUUUUGCAUUCGAAUCAAAGCUCGAUCACGUCGCUCCUCAAUGGUAUCAAUAACGUCCACCAUCAGUUCGCUAUUUGCUGCCUCGUUCUGCGGGUUAUUCAUCCGUCUCGGACUUGGCACAGAUAUUUCAGCAGGGAUUACAGCCUCCAUUCCAUAAACUAAUGAAAAUGGUGUUUCACCAGUUGCACGCCUAGGAGUAGUGCGAAUUGCCCAGAGAACACUCUGUAGUUCAUUAAACCAAGUUCCUUUGUGCGACUUGAGUUUUUUCUUCAAAGUAGACAAAACAGUUUUGUUCAUUGCUUCAGCUUGACCAUUAACCUGCGGAUAACGAGGCGUUGAUCGACUGAGUCUGAUUUGCCAUUCUUCGCAGAAAGACUCGAAUUGCCGUGAAAUGAAUUGAGGUCCGUUAUCAGUAACGAUCUCAUAUGGCAAACCGUGCCUACAAAUGAUGUCCUGCCAAAUGAACUUGCGAACUUGAACCUGAGUUAUGUUUACGUAGGCUGCCGCCUCUACCCACUUCGAGAAAUAAUCGGUAAGAACCAAGACAAAUUUCACUCCACGAGUAGAAACAUGAAGAGGCCCAAUAAUAUCCAUAGACCAUUUCAUAAAUGGAUAAGGCGAAGAGACUGAUGAUAAUGGCUCGGUGGGUUGGUGAAUUGAAGGCGCAUGCUUCUGGCAUUGCUCGCACUUCCGCGCAUACUCCUCGCAAUCCGCGAUUAACGUGGGCCAGAAAUAUCCGUACUUUCUUACUUUAUAAGCCAAAGAGCGACCUCCGGAGUGAUUUCCGCAUACUCCGUCAUGAAUCUCUUUUAUCACAGUACGGACCUGCUGUCCAAAAAUACAGAUCAUGUCUGGACCCGAGAUGCUUCUUCUGUAGAGGAUGUCACUCGAAAUGCAGAAACGAGCACUUUUAGCUUUCAGUUUUCGUGCCUCCCACUUAUCCGCAGGGAGAGUACCAUUAAGGAUGUAUUCUCUGAUGGGUAUCCGCCAGUCUGCCCCCCAAUCCGGAAGCGGUAGCGCUGGCGGUAGUGGUUCCGGAUUUAGCGGUGUUCCGAUUAGUGAUUCUACUUCGGAGUUCUGCUCAGUUUCCUCGACCCUUUGUGGUUCUUGUUCCACACUCAUCCUUCUUUGCAUAGACCGUGUAGUCACGAAAUUCAGCUCUCCGGUGGCUAUACUGGGAUGUUCAAUUACUUCGACAGGGAUCAUUCGGCUCACUGUUACUUCGGAACUCGACGCCAAUGCCGCUAAGGCAUCCGCCGCUGAGUUCUCACUUCGCGGAAUUCUAAUGAGUUCGAAACUAAGGAAUUUUUUACUCAAUUCCUGAACCUGAGCGAGGUAAGCUUCCAUUCUGCCAUCUUUUGCUUCAUAAUCACCGGAAAAUUGAUUAGCAACGAGCUGCGAGUCGCAAAAUGCCCGUAAUUUUGUGACACCUAUCCCAACCGCUAGACGAAGUCCUGCAAGGAGAGACUCGUACUCCGCCUCGUUAUUCGACGCAUUAAAUGCGAGACGAAAUAACUGUUCAAUUACCUCACCAAAUGGGGAUUGUAAUCGGAUACCGAUCCCGGAACCCUGUCUUGAGGACGCGCCGUCCACAUGAAGUAUCCAAGGUCCUUCAUUUUCUUUGACUUCCACAGAGACCAGGGGUAGUUCGAUCAGAAAAUCUGCGAGGACUUGAGAUUUCAAGCUUGUCCUUGUUCGGAACUGAAUAUCAUACUCGCUUAGCUCAAUUGCCCAUUUAACCAAUCUUCCUGACUGACUUGGACUAUGCAAAAUUGCCCUUAAAGGUUGCGUGGUUAGGAUAAUAACCGUAUGAGAUUGAAAAUACGUUCUUAAUUUCCGAGCUGAAGUAAUUACUGCCAGAGCUAGCUUUUCCAUCAUCGGAUAUCUUGACUCCGCUCCCGAAAAAGACUUGCUUACAUAGAAAAUCGGUCUUUCGUCGUGCCGAUCCAAUCGCACUAACACUCCACUUACUGCGCUGUCAGAAACCGAAACGUACAAAAAAAGCUCUUCUCCGAACUCGGGUUUCGCUAACACAGGAGGUUUGGAUAAAUAAUCUUUUAGAUCUUCGAAAGCCUUUUCGCAAUUCUCAUCCCAAAUGAAAUUCUUGUUUGCUUUUCGGAGCAGAUUAUAAAAUGGAAGGCAUCUAUCGGUUGACCUCGAGAUGAAUCGGUUCAAAGCUGUUAUCCGCCCCGUGAGUCGCUGAACUUCCCGGAUAUUGCGAGGCGAAGUCAUCGCCAGAAAAGCGUUCAACUGUCGCGGAUUAGCUUCGAUUCCUCGCUCUGUGACAAUGUAACCCAAAAACUCUCCCGAAGGAACUGCAAAAGUGCACUGGACGGGUUCAGUUUCAUUCCGAACUUAUUCAAAAUUGCGAAGCACUGCUCUAGAUGCUCAAUAUGCGAAGUGCUUGAUAUUGACUUCACCAACAUAUCGUCAAUAUACACUUCCAUAGUUUUACCGAGGAGAUCUUUGAACAUCAUAUUCACCAACCGUUGAUAAGUGGCUCCGGCAUUUUUCAACCCGAACGGCAUGACUAUAUAACAGUAAGUUCCACGGUCCGUGAUGAAAGCUGUCUUUUCCUGAUCUUCCGGAUUCAUCAAAAUCUGAUUAUACCCGGAGAAAGCAUCCAUAAAGGACAUCAUUUCGUGGCCCGUUGUUGACUCCACAAGUCGGUCGAUGUGCGGAAGUGGAAAACUAUCUUUGGGACAGGCUUUAUUAAGAUCGGUAAAAUCUACGCAAACCCGCCAUUUCCCAUUUUUCUUCUUGACUACAACGGGGUUUGCCAACCAAUCCGGAUAUUUGACCUCGCGAAUCAAACCGGCAUCGAGCAGGCGCUGAACUUCGGAAUUUACAGCCUCGGCACGGUCUGGACCAAGUUUCCUGCGUUUUUGUUUUACUGGUUUGAAAGUCGGGUCAAUGUUGAGCUCGUGAGAAAUGACCUUUGUAUCGAUCCCAGUCAUCUCCUCGAUUUUCCAGGCGAAAGUUUUUUUAUUCCUUUUUAGAAAAGUUAUCAGUUCGACUCGGAGUGUUUCGCUUAAUCCUACUCCUAUUCUCACAGUUUGAUCCGGAUACUCCUCAUUAACUACCACUGCCUCCACGAGGUCACUGCUUAUUUUUUUGACAGGAUUUGCAAGCACCUCGAACUGUGGUUGCUAUUGAAUUUUAAGCUUAUGGCUGGACAUGUAACACAUCCUCGCAGCUCGCUGACUUCCCAGGAUUUGCUUUACUCCGGAUUUCGUAGGGAAUUUCACGAAUUGAUGAUACGUUGAAGGUACUGCUUUCAUCUCAUAAAUCCAGGGUGUUCCCAAGAUGACAUUAUAAGCAGCCGGACGAUCGAACACCGUGAACUCGAUCAUUUUGACUAUGCCCUCUGCGGAUACCGGGAGCACAAUCGUUCCUAGCGACAUUGAAGUUUCGCUAGUAAAGGAAACCAAAGGAGAUGGUGGCCCCUUUAUAUCUCGCUUCGAUAUCCCCAUUCUUGUCAGAGUAUCGAGGAAGAUUAAAUCCACCGAACUCCCAGUAUCAAUGAGAACCCGAGAUACUUCGCAAUGCGCAAUAUCGAGUGUUAUGAACAGAGCGUCAUCGUGUGGUUUAUCAAGUUGACUGGUUUCGCUUUCGGAGAAUGUUACUUCAGGUAAUUGUUCCUCAGUAAGUUUGGCCUUCUUGAUAAUCCAGGGGGUUGCCCUCCGUUCGUGUUGCUUGAUUGCACUAAUGGAAUCCCGAAAGAGCUUGGAUCCCCCCAUAAUCACCUGGAUUUGCUUCUUCGGUCCUUUAAAAACAUCAGGGGACUGGAUCCUUUUGUUUUUUUUGCUAGGAGGAGAUGGUUCCUCUGUUGCUACUGACUGCUCCGACGGAUGAGUUGGUUCGAGCUCCGAAAUGUCGAUUUCGGUUAUUUCCCCGGAUGCGAACUUGGCAGCCAGUAACCUUCCUAGAGCCUUGCAAUCUUUCGUAGCAUGCCCAUUGACUUUGUGGAUUUCGCAGUAGGCGUUUGGGUCACGAAUCCACUUGUUACUCGGGAAAGCGCCGUUUUUGCUUUUUGGCGAGAAAGAUUGCUUCGCAGGUGAAAUCUUCGGAGAACCUUUUGGCUCCUCCCGAUCCACUGAGAAUGUGCCAGCUCCAGGUUUCCGAGCUUCAGGUUGAACAGGUUUCUUCUGAGGAAGAAGUUGAGCAGGUUUCGGAGCUGCUUUGAACUUUUUAGCUAAAGCGGCCCGCUCUUCUUCCGCGUUUAUCCAGUUCGUUGCCCGAUGAAGGGCGUCUUGAAUAGUGGCUGGUCGGUUAACAACCAACUCUUCCCGGAAACGGGAUUCGUGCCAUAGACCGUUCUUGAGUGCAGCAAUAGCUGCAGAAUCAGACAAAUUUGGGAUCUGGACCAUAAUCUCUUUAAAGGAGGUGAUGUAAGUCCGUAGCGGCUCUCCGGCUCCCUGCGAGAGGUUCCACAGCUGGGCAUCAGUUACAUCGCUCUUGAUGAAGUAUCCGUACUGCAUGAUGAAGGCAGUAGAUAGUUGCUUGAAGCUAUCGAUCGAUCCUUCUUCCAGUUGAGUAAACCAGGUCAAAGCCGGUCCGGAUAGGUUUUCGGCGAAGAGCUUGCAUAAGCCCGCGUCUACUUCGUCUGGCUCCAAAUGUACCCGACCUGCGGUCACCUGAAAAGACGCCAAAAAUUCUUUGGGAUCCCCCUUACCGUCGUACCCCGGAAGUUUGACCUUCCUUUGGUCUCGAAUUCGCAGGGCUACAAUUCGUGGAGUAAAGGGAGUCCUUCUCGUCUCCUCGAUCACUCUAUCGACUUCGGGAGCCGAACUGGUGGCUUGAUGAACCUUCGAACUCAUUUCCCGAAUCUGAUUUUGUAAGCUCUGGAUUUCCGGGUUGACCGGAAGGUGAGGUGGAUGGGACUCGGUUUGAGGAUGAUGCGGGGUACUGCCAAGAUGAAUGGGGAGAGGUGUUCUGGCUGGAACAAAGGGACCGCCGGCUGAGUUUUGAAGUGCUUGAGUAUGACGGGAUCCAUCUCCAGGUUCACUCUGAGAGCCAAGAGGCAAAGAAGAUGGGAGUAUGUUGUUCGGGGAAACGAGCCUAGGAUCUUGAACCUCCGAAACGUUCGGACCAUGGAAGUCCAAAUGGCCGCGAGGCCCGCUGGUCCGCAAAGUUCCUGCAAGAAUUGUAUCAACCCGAUCCGCAUAAGCAUUAUGGGCUGACCUGAUUUCGGAGCAACUCGCUGUGAGGACUGCGAUUUGGCUGCCGCUUUGCUCUUCAAACGCUGAAAGUUUCUCAGACAACGCAGUGGUGGCGAGCUGCUGCUGGUCGGUCUUCUCGGACAGAUCUUUAAGCAACUUCUUGAUCUCGUCGAGGACUGAAGCCGGAUUCGCUAUAUCUGACAUCUUUCCGAUUGAUAUUCUGGAGUAAAAGACUAUAAAUCCCCUCCUUCUAGCGCCAAAUUGUGGAUGUCGGAAUCCGCAAUACAAAUUGUAUGAUGUGUAUCGGAUCGUCUAGUCUUGCCAAUUCGAAUAGCAAUCGUCAAAAAGAAAACAAAAGAGUGAAGUAUGUGUAUUCGUUUAUUGCUCAAGAAAGAUCCCCCUAUACAAUGGUUUUCGUUUCCUAUUUAUAAUUACAUGAUUUGAAACCGAAGUCGCUCAUCAAGCCGCAGAUCUCGCCUUCAUUAUUGCUUCCGUUUCGAAUCUUCCCGAUCUAGCAGAUCCCGUGAAACCCGCCUUUCAUUUAACUCGUGAGAUCCCGACGUUUUACUCGAACUGGGCUGGAACUUAUUGGGCCGCUCUUUUCGUCCCCUGGACCGGGCCGACGGCCCACUUCGUCUUAUUGAUCCACUAUCUUUCCGGGCCGGAUCCGAACUGCGGGAUCCGACACCAACACUUUGCAUCUCUUAUUUAGUAUUUUGAUUUAAACUUACUAAGGGAAAAAACUGUUUUCUAUAUGACCUAACAUCAAGAACUCAAUAAUAGAAGAUAAACAAUAAAUUCUAAUAACGAAAGUCUGUAAUAGUUGAACUCACUAACCUUUUACAUAUAGAUUUGAAGGAUUGCUCCAAUGGAUAAAUGUGAUAGCCUCCUUCAUUUUCUUAUAUUGCUCCACACGAAGGUUUACCUGAAAACAUUUAAUUUCAUUUAAUACAUGAUUCUGCAAAUUUGCUCAUAGCUAUUGUUUGCAUAAUUGUGUUUAAUACAUGAUUAAGAUCAGAAAAUGGCUGCAUAUAUUUCUAAGAAUCGUAUCAGUUUGUAGCCACUUUUUAUCCUCCUCUUAUGUGAACGUCAUUAGACAAAAGUGUAAAUUGAAAUUUAUAUGGAAACUAAAUUUAUUAGAACUCUUUCCAGUUUCCAGUAAACACAAUAUAUUGAUACGAUUAGCAAGCAUAUUCUUAAAGGUUCAUCUUCCUACUCAAUCAAACAAGUUAAAACUACAUCUAAUCAAAUGUGUAUUCGUUGAUAAAUUAUAGUGAAAACAAAAUGAUGAAAAUUCAAUUAACAAUCAUUACCCAUAAGAAGAUUCGUCUUCCUGAUGCUCAUUGGCCAAGAACACAAUUCGAACAAAAGAUUACUCAGAAAGUGAUUCGAUCGACAUAUAAAAAAUGGUUUAAAGUAAAAAUCUGAUUCGAUUGCAAUACACAUAUUAUAAACGGAGACAAAAUAGUAGAAUUACAGGAGAUUUCACAAAUUUGACUUAGAUCGAUCUAUGUUCCAAAUUUUGUUCGGUGGGGGUUUGUUUUUACUUUUAGAUAAGACAACGACUGUCCAAACAGGAAAAAACUA
rnacentral:lncRNA from 1 species